ensembl:lncRNA
AAGGAAGUUCAUUAGAUCAUCCUACAAAGAGAAAAAUCUACUUGAAUUCCCUUGGAAGAGUUCCAUCAUGUUCAAUUACAUUGAAGAUGCUGCCCUCAGCAAGUAAAGCAACAUGCACUGCUUUUUGGGAUAGGAAAGGACUGAUCCUUCUUGAUUUCCUGGAGUCCAGACAAACCAUCAACUCCAUCUGCUAUAUAUCAGCUGUUUAGGGAAAGGACGUAUAUGAAGCCUUCCUCAGACAACUGGAAGAAGUCUCACAUUUGCAGAUGUGUUCACCACCUCAGUAUCUGCCAGAAGGGCACCAGCAAGCCAGGAGGCUUUUGGAGUGCAGUGACAGCUUCCUAACACAGCACUCAGCUGACUCGGAGUCCACAAUUUUUCUCUUCAUACAGCCCAGAAAGAGUUCAGAGAAGAUUUACAAUUAUGAGGACAUAUAUCCCUCACAACAAAAGGAAAGCUGAAGUAAUCCAAAUGAUAUAUAAAACUUGCUUUGAUGACCUAUUGAUUUGCUUAAGUGGAUUCCUGAAACAUCUGGGGCGCACAGAUAUGGCACUGAACCAUCUCCGGCAGACAGGAUUAAAGCUAAAAGUUCAGAAUUGAUGUUUCAUUCAAUAAGAUCUGAAAUAAAGCGUGUAUUCCCUUUGACAAAUGUAUCAGUUCAGCAGAGAGGAC